CGUAGGGUGCGAGCGUUGUCCGGAAUUACUGGGCGUAAAGAGUUCGUAGGCGGUUUGUCGCGUCGUUUGUGAAAACCCGGGGCGUCAACUUCGGGCUUGCAGGCGAUACGGGCAGACUUGAGUGUCUCAGGGGAGACUGGAAUUCCUGGUGUAGCGGUGAAAUGCGCAGAUAUCAGGAGGAACACCGGUGGCGAAGGCGGGUCUCUGGGGAAACAACUGACGCUGAGGACGAAAGCGUGGGUAGCAAACAGGAUU
rnacentral:rRNA from 1 species